AAGAAAAAUUUGUUCAGCAUAUGAGUGGUAGAUACGACCAAAGCUACAUCUCUCAGCAAGUCAGUGCUCCAGCUUAAGCAACAAGAAAAAAAAAAGCUCUAUAUAGAACUGUGACAAACAUAGUUACUGCAUGGAACUAAGAAAAUGAUGUUUGUAGCGUGUAGAAGCUAGAAAAGAAAGAUGAAAUCAAUUUAAACUUUUUCAAAACCAAUAGCUAGACUGAGACUGUUCAGUCCUGAAUAUAUAUGUGUACAUAUGUGUAUGUACACAUAUAUACAAACAUUGGGUUCUCAUUUUGUUUUGGAAAGGUGAAGCUGGUCACCCCCAGAGUUAAUGGGAAAAUAUGUGGGAUUAGAAAUUGUGCCCCAGUAUUCUGGGACUCCUGCCCAAGCCACAGUGAUGGCUUUUCCCCUCUUAUGAUUGCUGCUGUACUGAAAUUUACCAUCAGUCAGCCAUAGAACAGAGCAACUCCCAAGGUUCCAGCUACUACAGUGACUCAUUUGGUGUGUCAUCAUUCCCUGGAGAAUGGAGGUACCACAUCAAAUCAUGGCCCAUCCUAAAGUCUAGUGCCACUGAAAUUUACAGCCACAGAACUGAAUUAAUCAAGAGGAACAACAACAACAAGAGUUCUCUUCCAAAAUGAUAGCUUUUUUGUAGCUCUGAAAUGAGAGGAACCCAAUCCAGAAGAAUCCACAGAAGGAGGAAAAGCCAGCAGAAAGGCAGCAGAUUAGACACAAAAUUGUAAUUGUUAGUACGCAACUGAUAAAUACAAAAGGGCGAAGAGAAUGUCAAUCCAGAAUGAUGCAAAUCCCUUCAUUAUUACUCUCGUUAAAGGACUGCUAAUGAUCAGCAAAUAGCCAAAGGCAGAGGAGUCAAUCCAAGAUCUCUUCGGUUCUUUCCUAAUCAGAACACAGAUUUACAAAGAUGACACAACUGUCCGGAGGUCACACUGAAAUUAUAGACAGAGCUGGAGUUCUGAUUUCUGAAAGUCCUAUUCUCAGUCACUAUGCUAAAUGAGCCUCUAAGGUUCUAUGCUUGUUUUCUUCUUUUAUCAUUUGUCCAAUCAGGAUAGGUUAUUUUGUUGAAAUUUUGUGAGGGAAAAAAAAUUUAUUUUAUUUGGUGGAACGGUUUUUAAUUGGAGAUGGGAGUGGUCUCAGCCCUUUAAAAAUAAAAGAAUGAGGUGAGGGCAAGAAGGGGGUUGUUAUAGGAGAAGGGCCCUAGGCUGGAGGUACAGAGCAAGGUCAAGGGGACCCUGACAGCUGCAGAGUGAAUAGCAUCUUUGCAGUCUAUGAGCUUACAGAUAGAGAAGAUGCAAUUUAGGGUAGGAGAGGUGGUUUUUAUUUCUUAAAAAGUAGUCUUUCUUGGACAGGGACAUACCAGGGAUACAACAGCCCUUUUAAUCCGGAAGAACGAGGGGCUGAAGGAAAUAAAAAGUAAGCCUGAACCAGACCAGAGAAUUAAAAUGGUAUGCGUUUAAGUUUGGUUUAUUUAAAUAUUUGCUCUAAGAAUAUGAAGUUGCCUAUAAAUAGAAAAAAGAUAACAGAAUGGCUGUUUUCUU
rnacentral:lncRNA from 1 species